UACGUAGGGGGCUAGCGUUGUCCGGAUUUAUUGGGCGUAAAGAGCGUGUAGGCGGCCAGGUAGGUCUGCUGUGAAAACUCGAGGCUCAACCUCGAGACGUCGGCGGAAACCAUCUGGCUAGAGUCCGGAAGAGGAGAAUGGAAUUCCCCGGUGUAGCGGUGAAAUGCGCAGAUAUCGGGAAGAACACCCGUGGCGAAGGCGGUUCUCUGGGACGGUACUGACGCUGAGACGCGAAAAGCGUGGGGAGCGAACAGG
rnacentral:rRNA from 1 species